UCAGUUGAUUAGUUUGAGCAUCAAUUUUACUCAUAACCUGUAAGUUAAAGGAUAUCAGAUGGCUGCCUUCAGUGAUCCUACAUAUGAUGAUAGAUGAGCAUGUGUUCACUGGAGACAGGACUUCAGCACUUUGAAAUAACACUUGUCUUCUGCCAUAUUACUGCCAUUUCCUUCACUGGAAAUGCUGUCCCAUGGCAGAGCCACUGGAAGGGAUGUGUGAGUGCUCAUCCAGGGUUUCAGAACAUGAUCUGCCUGCUGGGUUCAAGUUGCUCUGGCGAGCUCUGGAGAGGAUGCCUGGUCACUGCUGGGUGCAGCACUGGGGCAGGUGAUCCCGAUGUCAAACAAGCAGCUGUGUCUGCCGUCACUAGGUUCACUUCUCUCCCUUCUGGAAAGUCUGACUAUUAGAAGUUUAUAAGUUUUUGCUAAUGCUGAAAACUCUUGUCAGAGAUAUGUGGCUGCAUGCUUUCUCCAGGCAGAAGUGUCGUCAGAAUUAUCCACAGGCACCAGUCAGGGCAAGUGUCUAGCUGUUUCUGAUUCCUUUGACUAAAGGCUGUUGCUGGGUCUAGCAUGGAAACAUGCCAGUGAGCAAUGCCAAUUAGGAAAGGGCAUUUAACACAAAGAAAGAGAUCUAAUCAGUGUCCAGUAAACAAAGACAUCUUGCCUUGUGUCAACAAUGUGUUGGGCACAUGGCUACAGCUUCCUCCAAUUGUGUGACCUCCAUGAUAUGCAACUUUGUCCAACAAUGUUUAGAAUAGCCACCCACAUAAGCUGGUCUGAAAAAUGGCAUUGUUUUAGGCUGAGACUCAUCAGUGUGAUGACAGAUGCUGUAAAAGAAAAGGCAAAAUACAAUUCCUUCUAUUGCAUAAAUUUUAGGAUUCUUUUGAAUCAUUCUUGUUUUUUUUGCUGUUGGGUUUCACCCUGCCUUCCUUCUUUCUGCCUAUCAAAUGUAAGGAUGUAACCAUAGACAGAUAUGACAGAGGGCAACUGUUAAAUGUUUUCUUAAAGAUGGGACAAAAUUUCAUCUAUUACUACUACUACUACUACCACAGCUUUACACAUUUUGUUUCUGACUGGGAUUUACCUCGUCAAGCUUAAAAUCUAUAAGAAUUUUGUAUGUAAUUUAGCAGAAUGCUUUCUAAGGACAAGUAUGUUAAUAUUAUCGGUAGAUCAAUGGAAAAUAAAUCCAAAAGUACAAUUUCAUAUUCAACUCAAGUAUCUGUGUGCAGGGUAAAUGUAAAUAUAAGGUGAUUUCAACCCACAUGUUAGAAAUACUGCACAUUUGGUUCAGUAAGUCACAUGCUCGGCAUAUCAGAUCUUGUGUUCAUGCUUUCAAUGAAAAUCAGAAAACAGUGACACCCCAGAAGAAAGUCAGGGGAUUUUGCUGUAAUUGAUAUUUUAUACAGAGGUGACAGACUCUAUGAAUAAACCACAUGCUUAGUGUAUGCAUAAUUGUUUUCCAUUAUAAAUUAAUACAUGGGGAUCCUUAAAACAGAAGCAGGAAAAUUAUUUCAGGAAUAAGCAGAAUAUAUUCCUUCCUCUUUUGGUUGCCCCUUGUCUUUGGGUGCAUGUGAAUUUUUCUGCUUCUUUUAUUGGAGCAACUUCAUGCCAGCCAUUGAUAGAUAUAUGUCACAUCAAGUCUGCAUACUUUAGCAGAGAUUAUCUAACUCUUCAAGACAAACAUUUAACUCCAUAUUUCCUAACUGAUGUGCAUUGUAAUAGGAAGAUGAUGUAUUGUGAUUAUGAAUACUUUUGUUUUCCUUAGUUCUGGAGGGUUUCAGUCAGAAGUUGGAUUUCUCACAAACUAUUUCCCAUCACUUGUUUCAGCCCCAAGUGACCAGUAAUUCCUUCAAUAUAUGGUGUGUUGACCGCCUCCAUCUCAUGGGAUUGUGUCUGCUCUCUCACUGGCAAGCUGAAACUUUUCAUGAAGACUUUAAUAAAUCCCUUGGGGGUUGGACCUUUCUGCAAAUAUAUAUCUGUGGUGGUACUAGAAAACACAGUAUGCCAUGGAAAUAUUGAGAGUCUUGCCAUUACAGCACCAAGGCUGAGCUCCACAGAAGGAAGCUCUGCCCUGAACUUACCCUGGACCCACAGCCAAAGCACUGGAGCUGUCCCUGCUGGGUGUGAGUGGGUUGGCACUUGCCCUUUGCCAGGAGAGGUGGGGGCCAAGAACUUCAAGCUCCCCUGGAGCCCACAGCACUUUGCCAGGCAGAUUAAUGGAAAACAGAUGAGGCUCUGCCAGAAUUUUGUUGCAAUUGCACAAUUUCAGUAAAACUUCCAUUGAAAUUUGAAGUCAAAUGAAUGGAAAUAUUCCAUCUAUAGCACCACUUAGACCUCUUAGUGAGUAAUUGCUGAUUAGUUUCAUUUACUAUUAUGUCAGCCAUUGAGAACCAACAGGGUUUAAUGAAAAUGAACGACAGACCCAGCUGCUCUGACUUACCUAGGCCUGCUGCCCUUAUUUAAGAUAGAUGUUAUUGAAUGGAGUUUUUGAUUAUUUAUGGACUAGAGAUGGUUUUGCCCUCCAAUGGAUGUUCCAUUUUCUGCCCCUUACUAAAUCCAGAGCUGAAAUAUUAAUUACUUCUGUUUUUGUUUUUUUCCUAUAUCACUUCUGGCAUUCUUGAUGCAUACAUUUAAUGACACACAUCUAUGGCCACUAAAAUUGCUAAUAUUUUCAUUGA